GAUGAACGCUAGCGGCAGGCCUAAUACAUGCAAGUCGUACGGCAACACAGUUGCGAGCAAUCGCAACCGGUGGCGAGUGGCGCACGGGUGAGUAACGCGUAUGUAACCUACCCUUCUCCGGGACAUAACUCCGCGAAAGCGGUGCUAAUAUCCCAUACCAACUCAUCAAGACAUCUUCUUGAGUUGAAAGCAGCAAUGCGGUGAAGGAUGGGCAUGCGUCCCAUUAGCUAGUUGGUAAGGUAACUGCUUACCAAGGCGACGAUCAGUAGCCGACCUGAGAGGGUGAUCGGCCACAUUGGGACUGAGACACGGUCCAAACUCCUACGGGAGACAGCAGUGGGGAAUAUUGCACAAUGGGCGAAAGCCUGAUGCAGCAACGCCGCGUGAGCGAUGAAGGCCUUCGGGUCGUAAGCUCUGUCCUCAGGAAGAUAAUGACGGUACUUGAGGAGGAAGCCCGGCUAACUACGUGCC
rnacentral:rRNA from 1 species